rnacentral:rRNA from 1 species
UACGAGGGGGGCUAGCGUUGUUCGGAAUUACUGGGCGUAAAGGGCGCGUAGGCGGUGUGUCAAGUCAGGCGUGAAAGCCCCGGGCUCAACCUGGGAACCGCGCUUGAGACUGGCACGCUCGAGUUCGGGAGAGGAUGGUGGAAUUCCCAGUGUAGAGGUGAAAUUCGUAGAUAUUGGGAAGAACACCGAUGGCGAAGGCAGCCAUCUGGACCGACACUGACGCUGAGGCGCGAAAGCGUGGGGAGCAAACAGG